AGGUCCAGCUCCAGCAGCGUCCGGUGCCAGCGGAGAGUCACCGACAGCCAGGAACCGGAACCGGAACCGGAACCGGAACCGGAACCGGAACAGCCGGGGGGAACCGACACCGAGAGACGCUCCAGCCCUGGGGACACAGGGGACAAUGGGACAGGUGUGACACAGGUGUGACACAGGUGACACAGG
rnacentral:lncRNA from 1 species